CGACACCUGCAGGAUUCGAACCUACGCACCCGAAAGUAAUGCCUGUGUAACUUACGUAAGCAAGGUAGCAGGGCACCGCCUUAACCACUCGGCCAAAGUGUC
rnacentral:tRNA from 1 species